rnacentral:rRNA from 1 species
AGCGAACGCUGGCGGCAGGCCUAACACAUGCAAGUCGAACGAACCUUUCGGGGUUAGUGGCGGACGGGUGAGUAACACGUGGGAACGUGCCUUUAGGUUCGGAAUACCUCAGGGAAACUUGUGCUAAUACCGAAUGUGCCCUUCGGGGGAAAGAUUUAUCGCCUUUAGAGCGGCCCGCGUCUGAUUAGCUAGUUGGUUGAGGUAAUGGCUCACCAAGGCGACGUUCAGUAGCUGGUCUGAGAGGAUGAUCAGCCACAUUGGGACUGAGACACGGCCCAAACUCCGACGGGAGGCAGCAGUGGGGAAUCUUGCGCAAUGGGCGAAAGCCUGACGCAGCCAUGCCGCGUGAAUGAUGAAGGUCUUAGGAUUGUAAAAUUCUUUCACCGGGGACGAUAAUGACGGUACCCGGAGAAGAAGCCCCGGCUAACUUCGUG